UACGUAGGGGGCGAGCGUUGUCCGGAUUCAUUGGGCGUAAAGAGCUCGUAGGCGGUUUGUCGCGUCUGCUGUGAAAACCUAAGGCUCAACCUUGGGCUUGCAGUGGGUACGGGCAGACUAGAGUGCGGUAGGGGUGACUGGAAUUCCUGGUGUAGCGGUGGAAUGCGCAGAUAUCAGGAGGAACACCGAUGGCGAAGGCAGGUCACUGGGCCGCAACUGACGCUGAGGAGCGAAAGCAUGGGGAGCGAACAGG
rnacentral:rRNA from 1 species